rnacentral:rRNA from 1 species
GUAGUUUACUACACCGUAUUCUGUGAGUUGCGAACGGGUGAGUAACGCGUAGGUAACCUGCCUGGUAGCGGGGGAUAACUAUUGGAAACGAUAGCUAAUACCGCAUAAGAACAUUUACUGCAUGGUAGAUGUUUAAAAGGUGCAAAAGCAUCACUACCAGAUGGACCUGCGUUGUAUUAGCUAGUUGGUGAGGUAACGGCUCACCAAGGCAACGAUACAUAGCCGACCUGAGAGGGUGAUCGGCCACACUGGGACUGAGACACGGCCCAGACUCCUACGGGAGGCAGCAGUAGGGAAUCUUCGGCAAUGGGGGGAACCCUGACCGAGCAACGCCGCGUGAGUGAAGAAGGUUUUCGGAUCGUAAAGCUCUGUUGUUAAGGAAGAACGUGUGUGAGAGUGGAAAGUUCACACAGUGACGGUACUUAACCAGAAAGGGACGGCUAACUACGUGCCAGCAGCCGCGGUAAUACGUAGGUCCCGAGCGUUGUCCGGAUUUAUUGGGCGUAAAGCGAGCGCAGGCGGUUAGAUAAGUCUGAAGUGAAAGGCAGUGGCUCAACCAUUGUAGGCUUUGGAAACUGUUUAACUUGAGUGCAGAAGGGGAGAGUGGAAUUCCAUGUGUAGCGGUGAAAUGCGUAGAUAUAUGGAGGAACACCGGUGGCGAAAGCGGCUCUCUGGUCUGUAACUGACGCUGAGGCUCGAAAGCGUGGGGAGCGAACAGGAUUAGAUACCCUGGUAGUCCACGCCGUAAACGAUGAGUGCUAGGUGUUAGGUCCUUUCCGGGACUUAGUGCCGCAGCUAACGCAUUAAGCACUCCGCCUGGGGAGUACGACCGCAAGGUUGAAACUCAAAGGAAUUGACGGGGGCCCGCACAAGCGGUGG